ensembl:snoRNA
UUCCAAAUUGUUGAGUUCAGUUCAGGGUAUAUUUUCUGCUCUGGUAAUUUAAACUUUGAAACAUUGAAACUGGGAGAAUGUUUGGAUAGAAAAUGUUAUUCUAUUCAUUUAUCCCUAGCUAGAGGA